rnacentral:lncRNA from 1 species
ACUACUUCUGCGCCUGCGCGACCGUGAUUCCCCGCUCGCGACUCCCCACCCCCCAGGGCUCCCUAAAGAGGGCCACGAGCUGCGAAAGGGCGGGAAAGGCAGUUGGAGAAGAGGUAAGCGGUUACUCACUCCAUGGCUGCAGCAAGGAGAGGCGGCGGCGGCCUCGGCUGAAGAAAGAAGGUGGGAGCGGAGAGCGCAGGCGUGGUGAGCGCGGAGACGGGCCGGGGGCACAAAGGGGUCGAGGCUACAGAGCCAUGGCCGGGGCUACGCAGGCAGAGGCGGCGACACUGUAGUGAGAAGAGACUGUGAUCCGAGGACAGGGAAUGAGGGGCAGGCGGUUAGCUGGCGGUGCAGGGCCUCGGCGCGGGUCAGCACGUCCUCCACGCUCAGCUUCAUAGUCAGCUCGUUGAUGUGCUUGAGGAUCUCAUUGGAGCCGAAGCCGGACAGCAUGAGGGUGUCCCUCUCCAUGUCCAGGAUGGCGCAGGCCACCAGCAGGUGCAGAUUGGGGCCAGGGAGCCCUGUCCACAGCACCUCCCACAGCCGAAGGACAUCCGGGAAGGGGAAUUCCCUCUUGAACCAGAUGAGCAGCCACCGGAAACAGAAGCAGAGAGAGCCGGAGUCCUGGGAAUCUGGGGGAUGACAUGGAGCCCACUCAGCCUUGCCCAGCGCUGGGACUGAGAGUUUGAGAAGUCAUCCUGACUGGAAGACCUUCCCCAAGUCUAG